rnacentral:tRNA from 1 species
GGGAGGCUGGCUCGACCCGGAAAGGCAUUUGACUGUAGAUCAAAUUUAUGGGGGAUCGUAGCCCUCGCCUCUCA